GGGUGGCUAGCUCAGUGGAUACAGCUUAGGUCUCGUAACCGAAAGGUCCCGGUAUCGAAUCCCUCUAGAGCCA
rnacentral:tRNA from 1 species